CGUUAGCAAUGCAGUGGUAUUGAUUGCAGAGCGGUAGUGGUAGCAACAAUACCACUCACACUAUAGUGGUAUGUUGCCUGCUGUGUCAGUCGAAACCACUGUGUUGGUAUCGACUGUUAUUGACUUACUGGCAAACAAGAAACUCCACUUGAAAUAAGAAUAAAAAAUAAAGGAAAAUGAAAUUAUGGAAAUGAAAAUAUUUGCGUGUAAUUUGAUGAAUCGACAUAUUAAAAGCAAAAUCGUCCUUAUUUAACUGUUUAUGAAGAAUAUGCAGCCAAGUCAUUAUACUUUAGAAAAUGAACAUCAAAGAAUCAGAACUGAGAACGUUUGAAAUUCAGAAUUCUUUGAAUUCGUAACAUUUGAUACAUCAAUAAACUAGAUUACGUAUACA